CACCUGCCGAAUCAACUAGC
rnacentral:ncRNA from 3 species